rnacentral:lncRNA from 1 species
UGGCGACAUUAAAUAAAUAUUAGAUUAUCUGUUCUUGUCAAAUCAGAUUAUAUGUUCUUGUCAAAUAAACAAAAUAUUAAACUCGAAAUAAUGGUAUAGGUGAUCAGUGCCAGCCCUACUAAUUCGGUGGCUUAAUGCACAUUAGCAUAACAUAGUGCUAUAUUUAACUACCAAACGAUUUGAGCAAUAUUGUUUACUUAUAACUGAUUAUAACAUAACAUUAUAUAUUUUAAAUAUUUAAAAAAAAAAGCAAAGGUGAUCCCGCAU